GGAGGAUUCGCCUAGUGGCCUAGGGCGCGCGCUUGGAAAGCGCGUUGGGGGCAACCCCUCACGAGUUCGAAUCUCGUAUCCUCCGCCC
rnacentral:tRNA from 1 species